UGAGAUGGGCCUUAUUGAAACUGUUA
rnacentral:piRNA from 1 species